rnacentral:rRNA from 1 species
AUUGAACGCUGGCGGUAGGCCUAACACAUGCAAGUCGAGUAAGCGGCGGACGGGUGAGUAAUGUAUGGGGAUCUGCCCGAUAGAUGGGGAUAACUACUGGAAACGGUGACUACUACCGCAUACUCUCGAAUGAGCACAUAUGGGAUUAGCUAGUAGGUGGGGUAAAGGCUAACCUAGGAGAAGAUCUCUAGCUGGGCUGAGAGGAUGAUAAGCCACACUGGGACUGAGACACGGCCCCGACUCCUACGGGAGGCAGCAGGGGGGAAUAUUGCACAAUGGGCGCAAGCCUGAUGCAGCCAUGCCGCGUGUAUGAAGAAGGCCUUAGGGUUGUAAAGUACUUUCAGCGGGGAGGCGUUACCCGCAGAAGAAGCACCGGCUAACUCCGUGCCAGCAGCCGCGGUAAUAC